GAUGAACGCUGGCGGCGUGCCUAAUACAUGCAAGUCGAGCGAACAGAUGAGGAGCUUGCUCCUCUGACGUUAGCGGCGGACGGGUGAGUAACACGUGGAUAACCUACCUAUAAGACUGGGAUAACUUCGGGAAACCGGAGCUAAUACCGGAUAAUAUAUUGAACCGCAUGGUUCAAUAGUGAAAGACGGUUUUGCUGUCACUUAUAGAUGGAUCCGCGCCGCAUUAGCUAGAUGGUAAGGUAACGGCUUACCAAGGCAACGAUGCGUAGCCGACCUGAGAGGGUGAUCGGCCACACUGGAACUGAGACACGGUCCAGACUCCUACGGGAGGCAGCAGUAGGGAAUCUUCCGCAAUGGGCGAAAGCCUGACGGAGCAACGCCGCGUGAGUGAUGAAGGUCUUCGGAUCGUAAAACUCUGUUAUUAGGGAAGAACAAAUGUGUAAGUAACUAUGCACGUCUUGACGGUACCUAAUCAGAAAGCCACGGCUAACUACGUG
rnacentral:rRNA from 1 species